CCACCCGUGGUAAUUCCACUUCGUCUCUUUCCAUUCCCCAGUCCCAAAUCUGAAGAACUCCGCACGGGAAGAAGAGACGCCGAGCUCCAAGGCUUCUUCAACGAACAGAUUGCUUGUUACUACACGACCAACGAGAGAGGAAGGCCGACGCUGCUUGUGGAAACCCAAUGUAAAUAUAUCUUUUCGUCAUCAACGUCGACGCCAAUGAUUACUCAUCAUUAUCCCGAAAUCCUUUUUCUUCAGAAGUAUACAAGAGAUGAUUUGCAGAAUUUGUCUGAGCCCUUGCAACCGCAAGAGCAAGGGAAGCGGCAUCAGCAUGUAUCUCUGGAAGGAGUUCAAAAAUGCAUGGGAAGAUUCCAUUUGUUGAAGCGACCUUGACAAGUCCGAGCUCUUUUUUGCAUGAGUAGCUGGUGAGGUUUGUUUGUCCUGUGUAACCUAAUAAAAAGUUUUCUGACAACCAACAUGUGGCAUAUUACCUGUAUUAUUUUAACUGUUUUCAAGUUUUGUUGUCGUGAAUUCCAUUAUUACCUGCAUUUUGUUCAUGUGAUAUAUGCUGGUGGCUCUAUAUUUUUUUUGCGGCUAAAACCGUUGAUGAAAGGAGCUAAAACUGUCUGAUUUGCCAACAUUUUCGAAGUACCUUUGGUCAUCGCGUCUAAACUUGACAAUGAAAGUGGCUAUAAUGUUUGCCCGGUUCUUAGCCUUAGUUUUCUGCCUUUUUUAUGUUGUCCAGUGCCAUUGUUUACAACACUAAUGUCUUAUAUACAUUUGUGAAUACAUCAACGCACGGGCACUGACAUGGAUGAUGAAGGAAGGGCCCUGAACACGACAGAGACAAUAGAAAUGCAGAGGGCAGAGAUCAGUGUCUUGAAGAUCCAGAGUUAGAAGAGAGACGAUAUCAUGUAGAAACCGCGUCACGUUUUGCUUUUAUGAAGAAGUUGCUACAUUGGUUUGUAACCUUUUUCUGUAGAUAGUGAUCUUUUUUUUCCCGAGUUCUAGUUGAUACAGGAAAUUAACUAGCUAGCAUAGAAAGUUAACUAGCUACGUCCCCGUGGCUCUGUACUCUUUGCUGACCUUUUAACUAGCUAAUACACGAAGUUUGUUAACUAUAUCUAAUUAAUACAGGGCAGUUAACU